GACGAACGCUGGCGGCGUGCUUAACACAUGCAAGUCGAACGGAAAGGCCCUGCUUUUGUGGGGUGCUCGAGUGGCGAACGGGUGAGUAACACGUGAGUAACCUGCCCUUGACUUUGGGAUAACUUCAGGAAACUGGGGCUAAUACCGGAUAGGAGCUCCUGCUGCAUGGUGGGGGUUGGAAAGUUUCGGCGGUUGGGGAUGGACUCGCGGCUUAUCAGCUUGUUGGUGGGGUAGUGGCUUACCAAGGCUUUGACGGGUAGCCGGCCUGAGAGGGUGACCGGCCACAUUGGGACUGGGAUACGGCCCAGACUCCUACGGGAGGCAGCAGUGGGGAAUAUUGCACAAUGGGCGGAAGCCUGAUGUAGCAACGCCGCGUGCGGGAUGACGGCCUUCGGGUUGUAAACCGCUUUCGCCUGUGACGAAGCGUGAGUGACGGUAAUGGGUAAAGAAGCACCGGCUAACUACGUG
rnacentral:rRNA from 1 species